rnacentral:misc_RNA from 1 species
AGCAGCCGCGGUAAUUCCAGCUCCAAUAGCGUAUAUUAAAGUUGCUGCAGUUAAAAAGCUCGUAGUUGAAUUUCGGGACCAUCAUGUCGGUCGUGCCUAGGUACGUACUGGCAUUGUUGGUUUCUCCCUUCUGACGAACCAUGAUGUCAUUUAUUUGGUGUUGUGGGGAAUCAGGACUGUUACUUUGAAAAAAUUAGAGUGUUUAAAGCAGGCUCACGCUUGAAUACAUUAGCAUGGAAUAAUGAAAUAGGACGUUUGAUUCUAUUUUGUUGGUUUCUAGGAUCGACGUAAUGAUUAAUAGGGAUAGUUGGGGGCAUUAGUAUUCAAUUGUCAGAGGUGAAAUUCUUGGAUUUAUUGAAGACUAACUACUGCGAAAGCAUUUGCCAAGGAUGUUUUCAUUAAUCAAGAACGAAAGUUAGGGGAUCGAAGACGAUCAGAUACCGUCGUAGUCUUAACCAUAAACUAUGCCGACUAGGGAUCGGAUGAUGUUAAUUUUUUAAUGACUCAUUCGGCGCCUUACG